GAUGAUGUCGCCAAACGGUUAAGGCACUUGUCUGCAAAACAAGUAUUGUAGGUUCAAAUCCUAUCAUCAUCU
rnacentral:tRNA from 2 species